rnacentral:rRNA from 1 species
AUUGAACGCUGGCGGCAGGCCUAACACAUGCAAGUCGAGCGAGCGGCGGACGGGUGAGUAAUGUAUGGGGACUGCCCGAUAGAGGGGGAUAACUACUGGAAACGGUGGCUAAUCCCGCAUACUAUCGGAUAACCCAUAUGGGAUUAGCUAGUAGGUGGGGUAAAGGGUCACCUAGGCGACGAACUCUAGCUGGUCUGAGAGGAUGAUACGCCACACGGGAACUGUGACACGGCCAUGAGUCCCGGGGAGGCAGCAGUGGGGAAUAUUGCACAAUGGGCGCAAGCCUGAUGCAGCCAUGCCGCGUGUAUGAAGAAGGCCUUAGUGUUGUAAAGUACGUUCAGCGGGGAGGCGUUACCCGCAGAAGAAGCACCGGCUAACUCCGUGCCAGCAGCCGCGGUAAUAC